rnacentral:rRNA from 1 species
GACGAACGCUGGCGGCGUGCUUAAUACAUGCAAGUCGAACGGAAAGGCCCUGCUUUUGUGGGGUGCUCGAGUGGCGAACGGGUGAGUAACACGUGAGUAACCUGCCCUUGACUUUGGGAUAACUUCAGGAAACUGGGGCUAAUACCGGGUAGGAGCUCCUGCUGCAUGGUGGUGGUUGGAAAGUUUCGGCGGUUGGGGAUGGACUCGCGGCUUAUCAGCUUGUUGGUGAGGUAGUGGCUUACCAAGGCUUUGACGGGUAGCCGGCCUGAGAGGGGGACCGGCCACAUUGGGACUGAGAUACGGCGCAGACGCCUACGGGCGGCAGCAGUGGGGAAUAUUGCACAAUGGGCGGAAGCCUGAUGCAGCGACGCCGCGAGCGGGAUGAUGGCCUUCGGGUUGUAAACCGCUUUCGCCUGUGACGAAGCGUGAGUGACGGUAAUGGGUAAAGAAGCACCGGCUAACUACGUG